rnacentral:rRNA from 1 species
AGAGGAUGAAAGGAGCUUGCUCCUGGAUUCAGCGGCGGACGGGUGAGUAAUGCCUAGGAAUCUGCCUGGUAGUGGGGGACAACGUUUCGAAAGGAACGCUAAUACCGCAUACGUCCUACGGGAGAAAGCAGGGGACCUUCGGGCCUUGCGCUAUCAGAUGAGCCUAGGUCGGAUUAGCUAGUUGGUGAGGUAAUGGCUCACCAAGGCGACGAUCCGUAACUGGUCUGAGAGGAUGAUCAGUCACACUGGAACUGAGACACGGUCCAGACUCCUACGGGAGGCAGCAGUGGGGAAUAUUGGACAAUGGGCGAAAGCCUGAUCCAGCCAUGCCGCGUGUGUGAAGAAGGUCUUCGGAUUGUAAAGCACUUUAAGUUGGGAGGAAGGGUUGUAGAUUAAUACUCUGCAAUUUUGACGUUACCGACAGAAUAAGCACCGGCUAACUCUGUGCCAGCAGCCGCGGUAAUACAGAGGGUGGCAAGCCGUUAAUCCGGAAUUACUGGGCGUAAAGCGCCCCGUAGGUGGUUUUGUUAAGUUGGGAAUGUGGAAAUCCCCCCGGGGGCUCCAACCUGGGGGAACUUGCCAUCCCAAAAACUUGCGCAAAGCUUANAAGUUAAUGGGUAAAAAGGGGUGGGUUGGAAAAUUUUCCUUGGUGGUAACCCGGG